rnacentral:rRNA from 1 species
UGGGGGGAUAUUGCACAAUGGGCGAAAGCCUGAUGCAGCAACGCCGCGUGAGGGAAGAAGGUUUUCGGAUUGUAAACCUCUGUCCAAAGGGAAGAAAAAAUGACGGUACCUUUGGAGGAAGCUCCGGCUAACUACGUGCCAGCAGCCGCGGUAAUACGUAGGGAGCGAGCGUUGUCCGGAUUUACUGGGUGUAAAGGGUGCGUAGGCGGCGAUAUGGGUCAGACGUGAAAUACAUGAGCUUAACUCAUGAACUGCGUUUGAAACUAUGUGGCUUGAGUGAAGUAGAGGCAGGCGGAAUUCCCGGUGUAGCGGUGAAAUGCGUAGAGAUCGGAGGAACACCAGUGGCGAAGGCGGCCUGCUGGGCUUUAACUGACGCUGAGGCACGAAAGCAUGGGUAGCAAACAGGAUUAGAUACCCUGGUAGU